CCCUAAGGCGGGGCCGAAAGGCGUAGUCGAUGGGAAACAGGUUAAUAUUCCUGUACUUGGUGUUACUGCGAAGGGGGGACGGAGAAGGCUAUGUUGGCCGGGCGACGGUUGUCCCGGUUUAAGCGUGUAGGCUGGUUUUCCAGGCAAAUCCGGAAAAUCAAGGCUGAGGCGUGAUGACGAGGCACUACGGUGCUGAAGCAACAAAUGCCCUGCUUCCAGGAAAAGCCUCUAAGCAUCAGGUAACAUCAAAUCGUACCCCAAACCGACACAGGUGGUCAGGUAGAGAAUACCAAGGCGCUUGAGAGAACUCGGGUGAAGGAACUAGGCAAAAUGGUGCCGUAACUUCGGGAGAAGGCACGCUGAUAUGUAGGUGAAGCGACUUGCUCGUGGAGCUGAAAUCAGUCGAAGAUACCAGCUGGCUGCAACUGUUUAUUAAAAACACAGCACUGUGCAAACACGAAAGUGGACGUAUACGGUGUGACGCCUCCCCAGUGCCGGAAGGUUAAUUGAUGGGGUUAGCCGCAAGGCGAAGCUCUUGAUCGAAGCCCCGGUAAACGGCGGCCGUAACAAUAACGGUCCUAAGGUAGCGAAAUUCCUUGUCGGGUAAGUUCCGACCUGCACGAAUGGCGUAAUGAUGGCCAGGCUGUCUCCACCCGAGACUCAGUGAAAUUGAACUCGCUGUGAAGAUGCAGUGUACCCGCGACAAGACGGAAAGACCCCGUGAACCUUUACUAUAGCUUGACACUGAACAUUGAGCCUUGAUGUGUAGGAUAGGUGGGAGGCUUUGAAGUGUGGACGCCAGUCUGCAUGGAGCCGACCUUGAAAUACCACCCUUUGAUGUUUGAUGUUCUAACGUUGACCCGUAAUCCGGGUUGCAGACAGUGUCUGGUGGGUAGUUUGACUGGGGCGGUCUCCUCCUAAAGAGUAACGGAGGAGCACGAAGGUUGGCUAAUCCUGGUCGGACAUCAGGAGGUUAGUGCAAUGGCAUAAGCCAGCUUGACUGCGAGCGUGACGGCGCGAGCAGGUGCGAAAGCAGGUCAUAGUGAUCCGGUGGUUCUGAAUGGAAGGGCCAUCGCUCAACGGAUAAAAGGUACUCCGGGGAUAACAGGCUGAUACCGCCCAAGAGUUCAUAUCGACGGCGGUGUUUGGCACCUCGAUGUCGGCUCAUCACAUCCUGGGGCUGAAGUAGGUCCCAAGGGUAUGGCUGUUCGCCAUUUAAAGUGGUACGCGAGCUGGGUUUAGAACGUCGUGAGUCAGUUCGGUCCCUAUCUGCCGUGGGCGCUGGAGAACUGAGGGGGGCUGCUCCUAGUACGAGAGGACCGGAGUGGACGCAUCACUGGUGUUCGGGUUGUCAUGCCAAUGGCACUGCCCGGUAGCUAAAUGCGGAAGAGAUAAGUGCUGAAAGCAUCUAAGCACGAAACUUGCCCCGAGAUGAGUUCUCCCUGACUCCUUGAGAGUCCUGAAGGAACGUUGAAGACGACGACGUUGAUAGGCCGGGUGUGUAAGCGCAGCGAUGCGUUGAGCUAACCGGUACUAAUGAACCGUGAGGCUUAACCC
rnacentral:rRNA from 1 species